rnacentral:rRNA from 2 species
AGCGUACACGGUGGAUGCCCUGGCAGUCAGAGGCGAUGAAGGACGUGCUAAUCUGCGAUAAGCGUCGGUAAGGUGAUAUGAACCGUUAUAACCGGCGAUUUCCGAAUGGGGAAACCCAGUGUGAUUCGUCACACUAUCAUUAACUGAAUCCAUAGGUUAAUGAGGCGAACCGGGGGAACUGAAACAUCUAAGUACCCCGAGGAAAAGAAAUCAACCGAGAUUCCCCCAGUAGCGGCGAGCGAACGGGGAGCAGCCCAGAGCCUGAAUCAGUGUGUGUGUUAGUGGAAGCGUCUGGAAAGGCGCGCGAUACAGGGUGACAGCCCCGUACACAAAAAUGCACAUGCUGUGAGCUCGAUGAGUAGGGCGGGACACGUGGUAUCCUGUCUGAAUAUGGGGGGACCAUCCUCCAAGGCUAAAUACUCCUGACUGACCGAUAGUGAACCAGUACCGUGAGGGAAAGGCGAAAAGAACCCCGGCGAGGGGAGUGAAAAAGAACCUGAAACCGUGUACGUACAAGCAGUGGGAGCACAGAGCAAUCUGUGUGACUGCGUACCUUUUGUAUAAUGGGUCAGCGACUUAUAUUCUGUAGCAAGGUUAACCGAAUAGGGGAGCCGAAGGGAAACCGAGUCUUAACUGGGCGUUAAGUUGCAGGGUAUAGACCCGAAACCCGGUGAUCUAGCCAUGGGCAGGUUGAAGGUUGGGUAACACUAACUGGAGGACCGAACCGACUAAUGUUGAAAAAUUAGCGGAUGACUUGUGGCUGGGGGUGAAAGGCCAAUCAAACCGGGAGAUAGCUGGUUCUCCCCGAAAGCUAUUUAGGUAGCGCCUCGUGAAUUCAUCUCCGGGGGUAGAGCACUGUUUCGGCAAGGGGGUCAUCCCGACUUACCAACCCGAUGCAAACUGCGAAUACCGGAGAAUGUUAUCACGGGAGACACACGGCGGGUGCUAACGUCCGUCGUGAAGAGGGAAACAACCCAGACCGCCAGCUAAGGUCCCAAAGUCAUGGUUAAGUGGGAAACGAUGUGGGAAGGCCCAGACAGCCAGGAUGUUGGCUUAGAAGCAGCCAUCAUUUAAAGAAAGCGUAAUAGCUCACUGGUCGAGUCGGCCUGCGCGGAAGAUGUAACGGGGCUAAACCAUGCACCGAAGCUGCGGCAGCGACGCUUAUGCGUUGUUGGGUAGGGGAGCGUUCUGUAAGCCUGCGAAGGUGUGCUGUGAGGCAUGCUGGAGGUAUCAGAAGUGCGAAUGCUGACAUAAGUAACGAUAAAGCGGGUGAAAAGCCCGCUCGCCGGAAGACCAAGGGUUCCUGUCCAACGUUAAUCGGGGCAGGGUGAGUCGACCCCUAAGGCGAGGCCGAAAGGCGUAGUCGAUGGGAAACAGGUUAAUAUUCCUGUACUUGGUGUUACUGCGAAGGGGGGACGGAGAAGGCUAUGUUGGCCGGGCGACGGUUGUCCCGGUUUAAGCGUGUAGGCUGGUUUUCCAGGCAAAUCCGGAAAAUCAAGGCUGAGGCGUGAUGACGAGGCACUACGGUGCUGAAGCAACAAAUGCCCUGCUUCCAGGAAAAGCCUCUAAGCAUCAGGUAACAUCAAAUCGUACCCCAAACCGACACAGGUGGUCAGGUAGAGAAUACCAAGGCGCUUGAGAGAACUCGGGUGAAGGAACUAGGCAAAAUGGUGCCGUAACUUCGGGAGAAGGCACGCUGAUAUGUAGGUGAAGUCCCUCGCGGAUGGAGCUGAAAUCAGUCGAAGAUACCAGCUGGCUGCAACUGUUUAUUAAAAACACAGCACUGUGCAAACACGAAAGUGGACGUAUACGGUGUGACGCCUGCCCGGUGCCGGAAGGUUAAUUGAUGGGGUUAGCGCAAGCGAAGCUCUUGAUCGAAGCCCCGGUAAACGGCGGCCGUAACUAUAACGGUCCUAAGGUAGCGAAAUUCCUUGUCGGGUAAGUUCCGACCUGCACGAAUGGCGUAAUGAUGGCCAGGCUGUCUCCACCCGAGACUCAGUGAAAUUGAACUCGCUGUGAAGAUGCAGUGUACCCGCGGCAAGACGGAAAGACCCCGUGAACCUUUACUAUAGCUUGACACUGAACAUUGAGCCUUGAUGUGUAGGAUAGGUGGGAGGCUUUGAAGUGUGGACGCCAGUCUGCAUGGAGCCGACCUUGAAAUACCACCCUUUAAUGUUUGAUGUUCUAACGUUGACCCGUAAUCCGGGUUGCGGACAGUGUCUGGUGGGUAGUUUGACUGGGGCGGUCUCCUCCUAAAGAGUAACGGAGGAGCACGAAGGUUGGCUAAUCCUGGUCGGACAUCAGGAGGUUAGUGCAAUGGCAUAAGCCAGCUUGACUGCGAGCGUGACGGCGCGAGCAGGUGCGAAAGCAGGUCAUAGUGAUCCGGUGGUUCUGAAUGGAAGGGCCAUCGCUCAACGGAUAAAAGGUACUCCGGGGAUAACAGGCUGAUACCGCCCAAGAGUUCAUAUCGACGGCGGUGUUUGGCACCUCGAUGUCGGCUCAUCACAUCCUGGGGCUGAAGUAGGUCCCAAGGGUAUGGCUGUUCGCCAUUUAAAGUGGUACGCGAGCUGGGUUUAGAACGUCGUGAGACAGUUCGGUCCCUAUCUGCCGUGGGCGCUGGAGAACUGAGGGGGGCUGCUCCUAGUACGAGAGGACCGGAGUGGACGCAUCACUGGUGUUCGGGUUGUCAUGCCAAUGGCACUGCCCGGUAGCUAAAUGCGGAAGAGAUAAGUGCUGAAAGCAUCUAAGCACGAAACUUGCCCCGAGAUGAGUUCUCCCUGACUCCUUGA